GCACCUGAAAAUAGUGGUUGCAAAGAAGUGGGAAAUUCACAAAAAUCCAUCGAAAAGCAAACGAAUGGAGGAUAGAAGUUCGAUUUUUAUCCGUCAAGUUAGGUUUUGGUGAAGCCGAAGGAGCUGAACUACAGGCGGAUACCAAAGGGCUUGUAGCAUAGCGAUAUAAAGUUGUCUACUAAAGGCGUUCAAAGUGGUUGAGGAUUCUUGUCCCUUGGUGGACGUUGGUGUAGAUCUAGGAGUAGGUCUAGAGGGUUUGUGAGUUGGACGGUUUAAAAACAUGAGGUAAAUGCCUGAACCAACGUCCGUUGGUGUCUAUGAGGAUGAUAACGUGGUCCUAGAGUAAAAUGGUAACAAUGUCAAGAAAGCAGGGCUCCAUUCAACGCUUGCUUCACUCCUCGAUGAUCAUGUGCUUGCAGAUAUACCAAAGAAACCAACUCUAUCAGAUGUUGACACCCUCAUCAGCUUGGAACUUGGGAGUGCACAUCUUUUGAUGUUGCUGUGAUGAAUUCUGCUACACUUAAGGAUUUGAAACUAGCCGUCGAGAAAAAAUCCAAUGAAAUAGAGCAGUCAAAGAUGGGCCAUCGCCAUAUUUCUUGGGAUGCACGAAGAUCAUUGAUCUAACACAAACCCCAUAUCAACCUUGUUUGUUAAUCGUCUGCUGUUGACGGAAGUCAAUCGGAGGUGAAGAACUAAGUUGUCGGCCGGAGGUGAUGAGAGAUGGUAAUCGGUGGUCGAUUGAUCGGCGCGGUGCUUAUCGGAGGUGAAUAGAGUGGUUGCCGUGGUGGAAAUUGUCGACAAAAGGAAUGAAGGACCGUGGUGGAGGUGUUUUCCGGCGGUCGGAGAUGAUAAAAGUUGAUCAGUGGUCGUGUACAGAGAGAUGGUCGUCGGCAGUGUGAUGGGGUAAUCGGAGGUGGGUAGUGUGAUAGAUGAUGGUGGAGGUUAGUCUAUUGUGGGUGACGGUGGAUAUGGUGGUCGAUCGGAGGGUGAGUCGUGAUUGUUAUUCGACGGUGGGGUAGUGGUGAUUGUUGGUCAGAAAAAGGUGGAUGGAUGGUGGUUGAUGUCCUCGGUGGCGGAGUUGUUCCUAAUGGGGCAUCAAUGUGAAGAAAAACUGGGGCAAAAGACAGGAAGACAGGGACUGAACAGCCAAAUUGGGGAAGAAGACGGGGACUGAAUAGAGGUGCACACGUGUCAAAAGGUGAGUGGUUGCUGAGGAAAGCUCUUUUAAGCCGUGUCGAAACUCGUGCAAAGGCCCGUGGAGUCGUUUCAGUUGGCCAUUUUUGAAAAAUUGAUCAUUCAAUGGCUAUUUUGGUAAUUAUCCCUUAUGAAUUUGUGUUGGAAACUGAUAAAGUAAAAAACAAUACGCGCGUCAUAGCUGGUUGGGUUUGGUUUCAUUUUUAGGUUAUUUUGUAUGAUUAAUCUGUUUGACCCGUUAUCAAUCAUAUCCAAUCCGUAUUAACAGGUU
rnacentral:lncRNA from 1 species